UCUGCUCAUGUUUAUAUAAAUAGCUGCAUUUUGUACUAAGRUAGCAUAAUAAUUUGCCUUUUAAUUGAAGGAUUGUAUGAAUGAAUUAACAAAAUUAAUACUGUCUUUAUAAUAUAUAUAUAAAUUAAUCUAAAAGUGAAAAAGCUUUUAUUAAAUAAAUAGACAAGAAGACCCUGUUGAGCUUUCCUAAUUUUAUUUAUUAGGUUUUGUUGGGGCAACAUAAAUUAUUUUUAUCAAUUUAAUUUUACUAGAUUUAACAUCAUAAUUAUUAUUUUAUUAAAUAAAAUAUUAAUAAGUUACCACAGGGAUAACAGGCUAAUUUUUUUUUAGAGUUCAAAUUAACAAAAAAGUUUGGUACCUCGAUGUUGGCUUAAGAUACCUAAUUAAUGCAACUAUUAAUAUAG
rnacentral:rRNA from 1 species